AUUGAACGCUGGCGGCAGCCUAACCCAUGCCAGUCGAACGGGUGGCGGGCGGGUUAGUAAUGUCUGGGAAACUUCCUGAUGGGGGGGGAUUACUACUGGAAACCGUAGCUAAUACCCCCUACCCUCCGAUUUGCCCCGAUGGGGUUAGCUUGUUGGUGGGGUAACGGCUCACCAAGGCGACGAUCCCUAGCUGGUCUGAGAGGGUGACCAGCCACACUGGAACUGAGACACGGUCCAGACUCCUACGGGAGGCAGCAGUGGGGAAGAUUGCACAAUGGGCGCAAGCCUGAUGCAGCCAUGCCGCGUGUAUGAAGAAGGCCUUCGGGUUGUAAAGUACUUUCAGCGGGGAGGCGUUACCCGCAGAAGAAGCACCGGCUAACUCCGUGCCAGCAGCCGCGGUAAUAC
rnacentral:rRNA from 1 species